rnacentral:rRNA from 1 species
UACGGAGGGUGCAAGCGUUAUCCGGAUUCACUGGGUUUAAAGGGUGCGUAGGUGGGCAGGUAAGUCCGUGGUGAAAUCUCUGAGCUUAACUCAGAAACUGCCGUGGAUACUAUUUGUCUUGAAUAUUGUGGAGGUGAGCGGAAUAUGUCAUGUAGCGGUGAAAUGCUUAGAUAUGACAUAGAACACCAAUUUGCGAAGGCAGCUCACUACACAAUUAUUUGACGUGAGGCACGAAAAGCGUGGGGGAUCAAAACAGG